UAGCUAUUGGUUGGUCCCCUGCCGGACACGGUUACAACCCCAGCAAGCCAGCAGACCCGUAGUUGCCAAGCCCUCCAACUAAAGUCGCUAAAUCAAUGAACAGAGUUCCCUAACUCAAUGAUUCCCUAGCUGCUAACCCCCCUCACUAAUUUGCCCACCACACGUACUAAGUUGCCUAAAACUAGCCAGCAUAUAUAACUAAGUUGCCCGAACUCGUUCGACUUAGCAGCUAACUUAGUCAUGCCCUCACACACACAAGUUGUCUAAAACCGCGCAAUAAGUCAUGCUACCCUGCCAACCUAGCCGUUAGCCUUAGUCGCAUCAGCAUGCAAACUAAGUCGCCAAAACAGAACACUAAAAGUCGGCUAGCCUGCCAACCUAGCUACUUAGUCACGCCAUAAUGCACACUAAGUAGCCAAAACUUAGAAUCCUCACUCCUAAUCAGCCUAACAAUUUUGUGUUAAGUUGCCUGCCCAUAUUAAUUCGCCUACCUACGCCCCUAAUUCGCCUGCAACAUAGAGUCCUCACUCCUAGUUCGCCUACUGAACGCUCCUAAAUUCACCUAUCGACGCUCCUAAUUUGCCUGCAACAUGGAGUCCUCACUCCUAGUUCGCCUGCCAAACGCUCCCCAAGUUGCCUACAUAUUUUUAGAAUGCAUCAACACAUAUUGAUUUGCCUACAAAUAUGCACCAACACAUAUUAAUUUGCCUACCAACACCGCUAACUUCAGAACUCUCACAUAUUCAAAGGGGAAGGGAACUUAGAUCCCAUAGAUAUGAAGCAACCACACUAACACUUAAUGACAAUUUUUUUGCCCAUGGGAACACGUUUAAAUUGCUUUUUCAAAUCCUGAUCUUGAGCAUGCAACUUCUUGGGACAGGAACAUGAAAAAAAUACCAUAUUCAAAGCAAGUUUUCUGUAGUCCGGAUCAUGUGACAAGUUAAGAGACAGCAACCGAAUUGUUUUACCCUUCUAUUUUGCCUGCUCCUUCCCCCUGGUGUAUAAUAUUGUUGCCCAGUUCUCUUUUUUGCUUGAUGUAUUCUUGGAUAGAAGAGGUCAAGACGACCAGGGUGGGCGAAAGUGGAUUUUUCCUGUAAUGAGGGUCCCGUGGUGCGGGGACCAGUUUGUUUUUUCUUUUGCGGCAGCUUGUAAGUGCUAUGGGCAAAUAACUUCCCUUUUCUGGAUCUAGGAGGAGGUCACACGCGCACUUACCCAAAAUAGAUAGGUCGCUCCAUCGUGCUAGGGAGCAAGCAAUUGCUGUCUAGCAGCGUCCUAAAAAUAAUUCUGAUACAGCUGGGAUGCACCCCGAUACCUGUCUGAUACAGGAAAACCCAACCGCUCAAUUCAUACCACAAACGCACCCUACCCAUUCUCGACUCGCUCUCACACGCCCAUGCCUCCAUCUGACCUUAGUGCCACACGGCUAGUUAGACGUGCUGACCUAGCACAUUAAACCACCGGCCCGUUUAUUCCACUGUCCUACUAAAGGAUCCCAUACGAGCACAGUCGACAGAAAAUCUGGGGUUCCUCCUCACGCCGCCUUUCUCCCUCUUCCUCUGUCCCUUGCUGCACUGAUGGGAACCAGCCAGUGAAGCUCGAUUUCUCGCGAGAGAAGCUCGAUCCGUCGCCGAAAUCAGUCGAUUUGUCGUUGGAGGUUGAGUCCUCGUCGGGGAGGAUGAAUCCUCACUGGGGAGGUUAAAUCCUCGCCGGGGAGGUUGAUUUCACGCCUGCGAAACGGGAUUCCUCACCGGAGAAGGCUGAUUUCUCACCACAGCUCCCUCCCCUGGUCGGAGGGCCGCCGCACUGGAGAAGAAGGAUGGCUGCUGUCAGCCUCUCACCGCCAGAUCCAAACCACCACCGCAGAUCCCUUCGCCGUCCGGAGCUGAUCUGUCUCCUUCCAAGCCGCGGGUCAGUUUCCCCUUCUCCCUUCUCCCUCUCGAGUUGUUGUGUGCCGAUUACUUCUUACCCCCCUUUUAAGGUCAGAAAUGACUAGUUCAUUAAGCACUGGUAGCGACUGGUGGUUCUGGAGUUGGAAGCUCAAACUCAAAUGCAGGCAGUGGAAGAGCCAAUGCAGUCCACGGGCUGAAUGCUGCUUGUGCGAUUUCUCUAAAUGACAAUGGAACCAGUGGGAAGAAGAGAAGGGGUUCAUUGGCUAUUGAAGCAAGCUUCAAUCAGGAAACUCACAGCAAGCUUUGCUGCUCUGAUUGCUAGGAUGUUCUAUACUGCAGGCAUGCCUUUUUAAUCUUGCGGAGCUAGAGGCCUUGUUUAGAUAAUAUUGGGGCGUUUGGACACUGGAGUUGGAGAACCAAUAGACUUCUAGUAUAAAAAUCACUAAUCUAUAUAUAUAUACGGUGGCGCUAAACCAAGCGAGCGUGCAAAGCUCUUAUUCUACGCGCCGGUCGCUAAUCACUGUGCCACCAAACCAGUGCAGUCUCACUCGGCUAAUUGUGUGAGAGUAAAAGGAAGUAGAAAAUAUAGUAAUUUCUUUAAUUUCUGUUACCAUUCCACGCGCCCCACCUCUGUCCCGUGGCUCCGUACCAACCCGCUAAUCAUGAUGGUAAAACCGCAUGCAAGAAAAAGUAACUGAAUUAAAUUGGUUACUGCUAGUCACACACAACACUCUGCUCCGCAAACCAGUCGUUCUUCUAAUCCCAGUAAAAUAGCCAGCAAAAAUAGUAGUAGGGUUAAAUUUAUUACUAUGAGCCAUGCACAACCCUCCGUCUCGCAAACAAGCCAUUCUUCUAACCCUGGUAAAAUAGCUGGCAAAUAUGGUAAUGGAAUUACCACAAGAUGCACAACUAAAACUAAGAUGGUUACUGCUAGUCACAAACAACACUCUGCUCCGCAAACCAUCCCGGUAAAAUAGCCAGCAAAAAUAGUACUAGAGUUACAUCUAUUACUAUGUGCCAUGCACAACUCCCUGUCUUGCAAACCAGCCAUUCUUCUAACCCUGGUAAAAUAGCUGGUAAAUAUGGUAAUGGAAUCACCACAAGUUACAAAUAUAGUAAUGGAAUCACCACAAGAUGCAACUAAAACUAAGAUGCAAAUCAAAACCACAUGAUUAUUUAGGUGGUAAUGUAUUAAAGUUGUAGGUGCUAAUUAAUGUGUAGUGGAGCAUCUAGUAAAUAUAGAAGAUUUGUAGUAAAUGACGUUGUGAUGUACAAGGCUCUAGUUUUGCAAGAUGAUAAAUGGAAGUAGUUUAUAUCGUAAUACAAGUUCUUGUCCUCAUUAUUACUGGCGUUACUACUAUAUGUAUGCGUGAUUACUGUUUACAUGCAAAAUUGUACGCUCAAACAUGUUCAUUUUAGGUUACUAUAUAUGGGCUAGGUGUGACAAUCAGUUGUGACAUGCGGUGGGGUACACUACAGGUUGGUUUGAUCUUAACCAAACUGAGGGCGCCCACAUGAUGGAUCUGCACGCAGAAUAAGUCAGUGUACGCGCUCACACAGUUUAUAUAUGUUUUUUGGUAUUAAGUAUAUAUAUAUACACACACAAACAUAGCCCGUAUCUGUGUUUUUUAUAAGGUGCUGUAGCAUGGUAUCGGUAUUUGUAUUUGUAUUUGUAUGUUGGAGACCAAUAGACUUCUAGUAUAAACAUGACUAACCUCUAUAAUAAUAUAGAGAGAGAGACACACACACACACAAACAUAACCCAUAUGUGUUUUUUAAAAGGUGCCAGAGCACAGUAUCGGCAUUUGUAUCUGUA